rnacentral:rRNA from 1 species
AGUGAACGCUGGCGGUAGGCCUAACACAUGCAAGUCGAACGGCAGCACAGUAAGAGCUUGCUCUUACGGGUGGCGAGUGGCGGACGGGUGAGGAAUACAUCGGAAUCUACUUUUUCGUGGGGGAUAACGUAGGGAAACUUACGCUAAUACCGCAUACGACCUACGGGUGAAAGCAGGGGAUCUUCGGACCUUGCGCGAUUGACUGAGCCGAUGUCGGAUUAGCUAGUUGGCGGGGUAAAGGCCCACCAAGGCGACGAUCCGUAGCUGGUCUGAGAGGACGAUCAGCCACACUGGAACUGAGACACGGUCCAGACUCCUACGGGAGGCAGCAGUGGGGAAUAUUGGACAAUGGGCGAAAGCCUGAUCCAGCCAUACCGCGUGGGUGAAGAAGGCCUUCGGGUUGUAAAGCCCUUUUGUUGGGAAAGAAAAGCAGCAGGUUAAUACCCCGCUGUUCUGACGGUACCCAAAGAAUAAGCACCGGCUAACUUCGUG